CUCAGUUCAGUCUCCACUCACCAAUGUUGGGAAGAACCCUUUUACUUUCUAAACCCUCUCUACUUCCUUUCCCUUCCACCCAUCGCCCUCCACUAGUUCAACCUUUACUUCCCACUUUCAGAGUCACUGCUGCAGCACCGUCCAUUUGCAUUCAUUCAUUCAUAACUAAAUCAACACUUACGCCCUAUCAACUCCUUCACAUCCACCAUACUGCCUCCCAAACUGAGAUCAAAGCUGCAUACGAAGUUUAGCUAAACUUUACCAUCCAGACACAGCUUCUUCCGUUCCUAAUGGGGCACAUUUCAUAGAAAUCCACAAUGCAUAUGUUACGUUAUCUGAUCCUGUAGCUAGAGCUAACUACUAUUUGUCCAUUGAUGCCGCAUCUGCUCAUUAUCACUGCAGAUAUUCUGCAUCCAACAACAUCCCAGGAUUCCGGCCAACUAGGAGGUGGGAAACUGAUCAGUGCUGGUAGACCACCUCUUUGUUCCCCUUAUGGGCAUCCCAGUGGCAAUACUGGAUAUUCUCUUUCUAGCACAUCUACCUCAAUUUUUCCAAGGUGAAGCUUUAAUCUUUUCUCAUAACAUGAUUUCUCAUCACUCGUGUAUAUAUCAAUAGCAAGGUUUUUUCUUUUCAGGUUAUUGCAAUUUGCACGUAAAAUUAUUGAGGAAAAACUAGAAUACACAAUCAUUGCAAGCUCAAUUUAACUGGGCGUGCAAUUGAAAUACACUGUUUUAAGACUAACAAACAUGAAAUGGAGAAAAAGAGAAGUAUUUGACUAAUUCAAACAAAUCAUAGCCGCAAUCCCCUCAAACCCUUCUAGACUCCUAUACAAACCAAAAGUCUAUCUUACAUAUUUGCACAAACAUAGAGAGAAAGGAAGAAUCAUUUACAGCUCAUUUUCACUGAGUUUAUGACAUGCAUAAGAAGGCGUAUACUGGCAGAUUCUGAAGCAGAUGUGGUGGGUAGGUUCCUCUGAUGGCUCAGUAUCUGAUGGACUUGAUCAAAUAUUGGUCUCACGUGCACUGCAAUCAUUGGAUCUGCAGGGUUUAUGGCAACAGCCACGUCUGUCAUCCAUGCCAGCUUUCUAGAAGUUUCCUUACUGAUAUCGCAGGCCAGUUGCUGUAAAAGGGCCAGCAGAACUCCCUGGCUCAAGGGUAAUGGGACCAUGGACAAAACCACCUGUGGAUCAACCUGGAGAAAGAAGAGGACAAAUGAACUGUGAAUUGUUCAACUAUGCAUGAUGCGGCAUUGUCAUUGUGCAGUUUGAGUUCCAACAAAUGUGCUGCAACAAUUUAAUUUGGCAUCCCAUCACAAACAAUUUGAAUUAUUAAAUAAAUCCCACGAAAUAAGUCCUCUACUGGUAGCUGGCCUGGUCUUCUUACAAAUUUUCCAUGAGAACUAGUCGGAAAAUUUGAUGGACAAAGAAAGCAUCCAGAAACUUGUAACUGCAUACAAGUUGAUCUGAGAGAGUUGGUAAAUUUUAAAGACGUAUAACUAUGUGUUAUUCUGCUAUCGCACUGCUUGGUUGAUCUCAAUUCUCGAGUUGUAUUGACCUAUUUAUCUAGUGAUCACCUGGUUCAACUGAUAGACCACAAGGAUAGCUACGGUCAUGAACAGCAUAGUUGAUAUGGUAAUGAAAUAUCCAAAAGGAUAUAUCUAACAUGAAAAAAUUGUCCCCAGUUUGAUGUGGCUCGUUUUGGACAUCUCAAAUGGUCGCUGAUUUAAAGACAUUAUGCAUGCAUCUUAGCACUUCACUAUAUGUGGUUUUUAAUUCACAUACAAUGUUUAGCAGUCCCUAGAGAGAGGUGCUUCCAUAAGGCCUGACAUGUGGGGAUUUAAGUCCUCACCUAACUAAACUUUAUGACAGAUCAUACCUGAGAACAUAACCAGGAAACUAUAGAGACAUCACUUCUCUGCAGGGCUGCUGUGAAUGCUUCCUCGAAUUUGCGCUCAGCUAUCAAUCUGGUUAAUUCUUUUGUUGGAUCCAAAGGAGCCUCAGCCUGUUCAUAUAACCAGUCUACAAGUCAGAGGCAACAAUAAUUCCUUUACAAGUUGAGAGUGCAGUUGAUUACUUCUUUCUGCAAGCAGACCUACUCAUUACUUCCUCCAAAUUUAAUAAUAUACAAAAGGCAUACCAUCUCAUGUAAACCAGCCAGUGGUCCAUUACUCAAAGAGGGAUUUCCCAAUUUGGAGUUUGCACCUGCAGCUGCAAUAGCUAAGAGCUUGUGUUGGCCCUCGGCUAAUUCUCCACUCAGGGUCUGAGUGAUUGAUGAUGCUGAAUUGAUAGCAUCCUGCAGUUUUCAAAGCAUCCCAAAUUGCAUUCGAUUUCAAUAACAAAUGGCUGUAAACACGAUGUGAAAAUAACCACAAACCUGCCAGGCUCAUGAAAGGUAAAAUAUAGAAUAUCUUGGUUACACCACAGGAUAUAGUCUUCUUUAAAAAUAUUUUGUUAAAGGUUUUCUUUGAUAUCAUAAUUGCAUUGAUAAUAUUAUGGGGUCUAUUUACUUGGCCAUUUUAACAAAUUAUAUUUACAGACUGGUACAGCAAGACAAUUCACAAGUUGAGCGAAACAGAUCAAUGAUGGCAGAGCAGCACGGAGUAAAAGCUCUUUCAAUUCCUAUAUCAAUCUCGCAUAAUCUUCGUGUUGUAAAACUAAGCAUUAUCUUGUAUAAUCAAUUCUUAGGACCCAUCAUGUUGAGUUUUUCUGGGAUUUCACAAUUUAAAAACUACUAACAUUAUAUAGGUUUACAAAAAUAUGAAAGAUACUUGGUUCUAAAUCUUUAUGCCACUUUCAUGUGGAGUAUGUACAUACAAAGAAGUCUACUUUACAAGGUCAAACAGGAAUAUUAUAAAGCAACAUUUAUGUUUAAAUCUGCCCAAACACACAAGGCAAGAAAGAAAAAAAAAUGCAUGAUUUUUAAAAUCUAAGUAACAUUAUCAGUAUAAAUUAUGCUUAUCAACACACAAAAAAAGUAACAAAAUCAUGCUAG
rnacentral:misc_RNA from 1 species